AUUCAGUUUUCAUUCCCCUUCUAGCUUUUCCACAUUCAAUUCGCACCCCUCUCGUUGUCGCCUACCUUCCCCAUAGUUGUACGUCCUCCAUCGAAGCGCAUUCUGGGCUUUCUCAUCUCCAUUGCCGCAACUCGUCUCUUUCUCUCCAUAGCUCUCCUCCAUUGAAGCGCAUUCUGCUGAGCUUUCUCACCUCCAUUGAAGCGCAUUCUGAGCUUUCCAACUCCAUUGUAGCAGCUUCAAGUUGAUAUUAUAUCAACUAUUGAAUUUGACAAGACUGGGGAUCACCUUGCUACUGGAGACCGUGGGGGCCAGGUUGUUUUGUUUGAGAGAACCAACAGAAAGGGUCCUGGUGGACCUAGAAGAGAUCUUGUUAAUAGGCAUCCUGAGUUUCGCUAUCAGACUGAGUUUUAGAGCCAUGAACCAGAGUUUGAGUACCUAAAGAGUUUAGAGAUUAAGGAGAAAAUUAAUAAGAUCAGAUGGUGUGAGAUGGCUAAUGGCGCACUAUUUCUUCUUUCCACUAAUGACAAAACCAUCAAAUUCUGGAAGGUUUCGGGAGAAAAGAAAAGAGAGAUGUUUGGUAACAAAACAGGUAUACUAUACGAAAGGAGGUUGCUCAAAGGAUGCACCGCAAGAAUGGCCAAUUUGCAUCUUUGAGAGAAGGUUCAGCAUCUUUCAAUUUGGAAGCUAAAAAGAACUUAGUGGUUGGUAGAAGCCUGGGACCAGAAACUGUUUCAAACAAGUGCCAGCAUUGUGGUAUUAGUGAAAAUGAUACACCAGCAAUGCGACGCGGACCAGCUGGUCCAAGAACCUUGUGCAAUGCUUGCGGACUGAUGUGGGCCAACAAGAAAUCUUGUUGGAGCCGAUUUGGGUGGUGAAUUGGGGCAUAGGAUUAUUCACAUCUAUUAAAUCAAUGUAAGAUCUCUCUUUUUGCUAUAUGGACUUGUAACUUGACCCUGUUAGACACACAGGAAGUAAUAAAAUUAUCUUGUAAUUGAAGGAGAGUGGUAUCACACAACAGAUUGUCUAAUUGCUUGCCUCUAUUGUGCAUUUGUGUAGUCCUCUGUUGUAAAUGUUACUAUAUUUGAAUGUAUUUAAUAUUCUUAAUCUUCACCAAUAUCUUACUU